UAACCUUUAACUGCUGCUAAGACAUUCCACCCUGGGGCUCCCUGUGCUGUUAUCAUCAAAAACACUCUAGACCCAAAAGGCAAGCCGCUUGUAUCAGUGUUUAUGCUUGUAAUCUAAAGGAGGAGAAAAACAUGUCGGUAGUCAGUUGGAAAAGAAGUCAAGUUAUGUACUUUUCCGCUUCAGUUGAGGAUUUCUUGCUUUGGUUUUCCCAUUUACUGAAAAUGAGUGAAUUGCUAGUAGGAAUAUCCUAAACUCACAAUGAAAUGGUUGCGAGAAAUGAUUGUUGUAAGAGUCGCCUGAAAAUCUAAGCUACAUAUUGUGAAAGUGGGUUUAUUGUUGUGAAGUGCAGGGGAAGCGUCUUUACCAGAAGGAUGUGGGCUCACAGCUCUUUGACCUUCGGAAGACCUGGGCUCUCCUCCAGCCCGGCUGUCAAGGCACCUCGGAGUGCUCCCUGGACUGUGAGCGUUCCCACGGAGCAGGUUGUUGCACAGAAGGUGUGAAAGAGGGCAAUUGUCCAGGCUUUAAGAAAUGAAGAAUAAAAGCGCAGAGGAAUUGAUCAAGGAAUAAAAACCUCAGUUUUACGAUGAAAACAUCUUUCGAGAGGGUCUCCUGGCGCAACAGGUACACUGCCUCCCCAGCCACUGUGACACUAAAAGGCGCUGUGAUGCUGUUCCAUUAUGAGGCGGCCGGUACCAUGUGAACCAUUCUUGUCCUGGACCGACUAGGAAAGGGAAGCGACAACAUCCAGCCGUCCGAAAUCAGUCUUGGAGUGAAUCGGGCCGGGCCCCCGUUUCAGCAACGAAUGUUAACACGCGAUCAAAAUCGUCGCACUUUGUUACUAGUGGGGGUGGGGACGGUCAUGAAGAGCCCAACGGCCAUUUUACUAAGCCCAUCAGCUGGGUAGUGACUUUUGCAAAUCAGCUCUUGGUACCUUCAUUUUGAUUCUCCUUAGAUGCAGAAGCAAAAACCACAAACCACAGUAGAAAUGCUUUAGGCUUUGUAACAUGAGAAGCUAGAACAUACAUACUGACUCUACUCCUUACUGUAAAUAUAUGAUUUUGACAAAUUACUUCAGUUUUUCAAGAACAAACCUCAGUUUCUUCCUAUGUAAGAGGGAUGCAAUACUAUCAUAUUACAUAUGUUAGGGUGUUGCCUUGGGGAUUCAAAACAUUAUUAAAUGCCUAAUGUAGAGCUUCGCACAUAGCACGUCCCAAAGAAAGCGAGCCGCCAUUGUUACUUUGUCAAGUGCUUUUUCUGUCUCAGUUGAGAUGAUCGUGUGGGCAGUUUUUCCUUCGUUUUGUUGAUGCGGUGUCCUACAGUGAUUCAUUCUUGUACGUGGAAUCAUCCUUGCGUUCCAGGAGUAAAACCCACUUGGCCAUGGCGUAUAGUCUUUUAAUAUACUACUGUUGAGUUCAGUUUCCUAGUAUUUUGUUGAGUAUUUUUGCAUCCAUCUUCAUAAAAGGAUAUUGAUUCUAUAGUUUCUUUUCUUGUAACCUCUUUGCUGGGUCUGCUAUCAGGGUAAUGAUGGCUUUAUAGCAUGAAUUAGGAAAUGUUAUCGCCUUCAAUUUUGGGGAAGAGUUGAAAAUUCGUGUUAUUUAUUUAUUUAUUUUUAAUGUUAGCAGUCUUCUUCCGUGAAAGCAUCUAGCCCAUGACUUUUCUUUGUUGGGAGGCUUUGAAUAUCGAUUAGUCUCCUUACGAGUUGUAAAUCUAUUCAUAUUUUCAAUUUGGUAGAUUCAGUUUGGGUAGAUGUGCAUUUCUAGGAAUUUGUCCAUCUUGUUCAGUUUAUCCAGUUUGUUGGCAUACAGAUGUUCAUAACAUUCUCUUUGAUGUCUGCUUUUAGUUAUCGGAGUCUUUGCUCUUUUUCCUUAUCUAGUUACAGGUUUGUCAAUGUUGUUGAUUGUUGCAAAGAACCAAUUUCGGUUUUACUGUUUUUUUCUAUAUUGUUUUUCUAUUCUCUAUUUUGCUCCGCUUCAAUUUUGCUUCCUUCCCUCCUUUUGUUAGCUUUGGGUUUAGUUUGCUUUCUCUUUUUCUAGUUCCAUAAAGAGUAAGUCUAGGUUACUGAUCUGAGAUGUUUCUCUUUUUUAAAUGCAGGCAUUUAAGCUACAAAUGUCCCUCUUAGCACUGCUUGUCUGUAUCCCAUCAGUUUUUGUGUGCUGUGUUUUUAGUUUCCUUUCUAUUUGUCUCAAGGUAUUUUCUAAU